UUAUUUUAGAUCCGACACAAUAAAAAAAUUUAGAAUAUUUAUUUUUUUACCAAUGUGACUAAAAAAGUAAUAUCCUAUCUCAUGAGCAAUAAAAUCGUCAUUCAAAUUCGCAAAUUGUACCGAACAAUUUAAGGAAACGUGAUGAAAAAAUGAUAUGACAUGCCGUGAGCAUAUUAAUAUUGAAUCUCGAGAAUAAAUCUUUCUGAAUGUUGUUUCUAGGCAUGGUGAUAGUAUAAUAACUGUACAAUAUACAUUUGGCGAUUCAAAUUUGCCAAGAGUUCAACAAAGAGUAAUUAUCUCGAUCAUCCUGCCGUGUUGAUAGACAGAAUGCACUUAUAUGUAUACAAGUACACAUACACAUUUUGAUCAUUUAUUCAUUGCGAGAAGAAAGUUUGCACAGUCUUAAGUUAUUCUUCUGCGUUUUGUUAGAAAUUAUACGUAGAUGUUUAUAUGAGUGUAUACUGGCUUUGAUAAAAACGUGAAACAGAGAGUUAUGGAAAAAAAAA